rnacentral:rRNA from 1 species
UACGUAGGGACCGAGCGUUGUCCGGAUUCAUUGGGCGUAAAGAGCUCGUAGGCGGCUGUUCAAGUCGAACGUGAAAACUCGGAGCUCAACUCCGAGCCUGCGUUCGAUACUGGACGGCUAGAGUCUGGUAGGGGAUCGUGGAAUUCCUGGUGUAGCGGUGGAAUGCGCAGAUAUCAGGAGGAACACCGGUGGCGAAGGCGGGAUCCUGGGCCAGUACUGACGCUGAGGAGCGAAAGCGAUGGGGAGCAAACAGGG